rnacentral:lncRNA from 1 species
GCUCCAAGCAGGAACACCUGGGACAAAGCGCCCCAUGGGGAACCUCUCAGAUAAGCUACUUGAUUUCUUAAUCCUUCUGUCCUUCGGUCAAAUCAGCUGGAAAGCAGGAAUAGGGAAAGGGGUGGGAAAAACCUCCUGAGGAAUCAGAGGCUGAGUCUGAGCCAGAUGCAACUUCUAUUUUGAUUGAGAGAUGAAAAGUCAUCAUUUUAAUUCAGGUCAAAUAAGCAUUCCUGAAAGAAGCCAAGAGGAAGGCACAUUUUCAACAUGACAUAAAAAAAGGGCUGAUAUAACAAAGAAAUUAAAGAAUAUCAAAGCCAACACAGUAAAAAGCAAUGGCAUCCUCAACAAGAAAGGGAAUGUGAAACUGAAUACAGGUACCAGGAAUCAGAAGAGUGCCAGGAAGAGAAUGAUCUUUGUUCUGCAGUAGCAGAGUUGCCUCCUGAGGAGCUGGAGAAAGCAGGCUUGCUUGUGUCACUAAAAGAAGCAAUGUUGACUCAAGGAGAAAUACACAAUGCCAUGAAUUAUAAGGACUGGUGACAGAAAAUGAGUUAGGUUCU